CUGGCUCGUUUAUUGACGUUAACUUGGUGCCAAACACCAGGCCGGUAGUGAGGGAAAUAGAGAAGGUUCCCGGCCUCAGGAAAGCUAGAAAGUUGCCCACAAUUACAAAAUAGUGUAACAAGAGUUCUGAUGAGGAAAAUGAGGGCACGAAUCCCUUCUCGCGGGCGUCCCGGAAGCUCCAGGAGGAUCCCUCUUUCACACAGCAGAGCUUCUGGACAGUAGAGCUGAGGAAGGAAUGUCUACCUGCUUCCACACAUCAGGUUGCAGGGUCUCCCCAGAGACAGAACCCAAUGGACAGAGAAACAAAGCUCCUGAUGGAAAUCACAGUAUGAUAAGUUUCUAGAUUAGACAUCAAGGAAAGACUGCGGUCGAACCUCAAUGAGGAAGGACCUUACCAGGUACUGGUAACAACUAACACAGCAGUAAACCCAUGCCUCCCAAGUUAAAAGACGUUGGCGUCACAUGAAAUCACUGGAAGGCUGUCCUGAGACCUCCAACAGAGGGAUCAGAGGAAUCAUUCCAAAACAGAUGACUACAGGAAGUGGCACCUGCUACCCAACACUAUCAGGACCAUGCUAGCCACUGCAAGAAGUGCCACCUUCCCCCAAGAAUGUCCCCAACCAGACAAGGCCACCGGAGCCACAGAGGGCCAGGCUUCAACCUGCAUCUGCUUGUGCUCUUUUUCUUUGUUCUUUCCUCUCUGCAAAGUUAAUGUUUAAAUUGUUGACAAUUCUUUUCUAUUUCUAUGAUACCUCUAAGGUUUUUAUCUUUAAUGCUGUUUUUUUUUUAACCUUAGUCAUUCCUUGGUAUGAGUCCAACAUCAGGUGGCCAUUUGCUCAUAAUUCGGCUACAACAUUCAAUUAUUCCGUCUGCUGGGUUUGCACUUACUUUCCUCUGGGUGCUGCCGCCCAACUUCCUUUGCUACCAAUUUCAUGGAAUUAAUCAGCUGAUUUCCUAGGUGAUAAGACUCAACCAAGAAGUGAUGUGGUGAUGAAAAAUAGCUUAAUGGGCCAAAUAACCAGAAUUCUAAAACCCCCUAUCAAGUGAUCUACAGAAAGGAAGGUGUGGAUCCUAAACAAAACAAUGCUCAGAAACCUUUUGGUUGGAAAUUUGAUGGAGGGGACAGGAGUGACAAGGAGGUGUUUUGAGAAAAUAAAACACAGAUGAAAGGAGACCGUAACGGUUCAGUGAGGGAAGAUGGGCCCCAUAGGGAACUCGAGCAAAGAGGUGACAGAGAUAUAUGUACCUCUGGAGAGUCCACAGAGGAGAUGGAAGCCAGUGUUAUGGAGUCCAUAAACGGUCUGGAACUUGGGCCUCUGGAGAAUCCAGUGAUAAGUGGAAACCAGAGGUACAAGGGCUAGUUAUGGCCCUUCUGAGGUCAACAAGAGGCUGAAGGCAGAGGCCAAGUGCACCCGCUCCAAGGAGCAGUGGGAGCAGGGACUGGAGGCAGCAUCUCCCGCAGGCUCCCCAGACAGCAGAAUGCCAGCUUCCGUGGCCCCUACAUCACACAGAGCACAGCAGGGAUCUUGACUGAAAGGCUAUCAGGAAUUGUCUGUGGGAGAGCUUGUCCGAGCGGCCACAGAAGACAAGGGGAAUAAGCUAAACUCAAGAGAGCUGGGAUGAGGGCCUGCAGAGCAGGAAACACUAUAUUCCCCAGCAUCCCAGACCUCACAGCCUUGUCAUACUCCUCACACCAAGGUGUCAUUCACAUGCCCUUCCCCACUGGUUUCCCCUGCAGGCCAGGCCCUGAGGCUGCAUCAGCCAUCCUGGGAAGAGGGAUAUCGCAGGGAGGGGAGAGAGACUAAUCUGUUCUCCAGGAAAGCCCAUCCUGUGUGCUACCUCAGAUUCUUUCAGGCAGCUUCUCCGAUCUGAGAAUCCAAAAGCAUGGGUUCUUGUGAAGGGAGGAGCAAAGUGAUGCGUUAGGAGGCUGAGGGGAAUGACCCUUUGGGGGACACUGAGGCUCUAAAGUCAACAGAUUUGGUCUUCAAGAUAAAAGAGUCCGUGACAAUAAUAGUAAGGCCUUUCUCAGACAUUAUCUCCUGUGAUCCUCACAGCAACCCUGCGAGGUCUGGAACUGUGGAGGAUUAAGCCUUGAGGCAGGUAAACAGCCCGUCGAGGGUCAGGGCCGGAGGGUCUGCCUCCAACGCCAGCAGUGGUCCCAGCAGACCUCACGCUGCCACCAGUGGGUGAGACCCAUGCCCAGCUCCACCAUCCUUCUAUUCAGGUGGUUGGGCAGAACAGGGACUCUGAGCCCCUGCUGAGGGCUCUGUCUUCUAAUAGGAAUCAGUUGAUAUUCUGAGAUUGUGGACCUGGAUCCUCAUGGAAAGGUGAGAUUAAGAUUAAAUUUUGGGUAGUCAAGUGUUGACUAGACAAAACCUUGCCUUUUAACCUACACCUUUGUUCCUCUUUUUGACUCUGCACUGAUCUUAAGAGACGAGGAGAGAGAGUAGCUAGGACUGAAUUUUCACUCUCCCUCUAGGCAAGCUGCAGACACCCACAAUGCACGGUUAGUCUGAUUUUCUAUAUUGAAUUAAUAGAGCUCUAUGAUCCAUCCCUGUUAUUCACUUUAAAGGGGAUAAAAAUAUUGUCCAUUUUUCCUUUGAAAAUUUCAAGAAGGGUUUUCUGUAUGUCAUGUUCAAUUGAUUUUUUUCAGUCCCUGUCCUCUCCAGAUGGACACAGAUUCCCAGAACUGCAGGCAUAUGUGUACUCCACACAGGACUUGACGCUAAUGACAGAACUUCGGUCCCAGCAUCUGAUCUGAGGCUUUCAGAGGCUCAGAACAUUGUUCUUGCCAGCAGCCCCAGCACAAAAGAUAGCCAUGGCCCAGAGACACCUGACUUGGGAUGGUGUCCUCCUGCAGGUAUCCUGAACUCUCUCAAUAAUCCAGUCCAUGGCCAGUGACUCACUGUGGUAAGGGUUCUGUCCAGAGCCCUCUACCAUGCCUAGAGGACCUGUGAACUUCAAAUAUAAACCUUAUCACACUAGUUCCCUCUCCUACCACUGCCCUGUUCCCCUCAGUGACAUUCUAAUCUUUCCUGCACGUUUCCAUCUCAGGUGGCUCACUGUGUCAACAUGAUUCUUUUUAGAAAAGUAGUAAGAGAAAGAUGAAAAAGUUCUUACCUGCUGGGGGCUGAUCUUAAUGUUCCUUUGCCAAACUGAUAGGGCUGUUUUUCCUAAAUGUUGGUAAAUUUUAAUUCCUUUAUAAAUAGUAGAAGAAUGGAAAAAGGAACCCCAUAAAACAUAGAAUAUGUAAAAUGGAACUAGUGCUCCAAGAUUCACUGAGAGGCAUCUGAUAGAGUUUUUGUGACAGGCAGCAUCAGACAACUGAUGGUUGUAAUGUGCGCUGUGGACCAGAGUUCUGGGCCCCCCUCACGGAGCUGGGGAUCAGUGACAGUAUUCUUGAGGGUAAGAGAGGACUGAUAAGAGGAAGGUGAGCCCAUAAUCCCUCCCCACAGUUUCCAGACUAGUAGGUUCCUCCCUGGACCUUCUAGAUCCUUCCUUGCUUCCCUGGGCCUUAGUAUUUUUCCAAUUCUAUCCUUUCUUCCUAUUGUAGACACACUGUAGUGCAAUUUUCUAUUUAUCCUUCAUAGAUCCCAGAUUUUAGCUGGACCACCCCUCCUUGGUCACAUCAGCUUUGAUCCUACCAGUCAUAUAGCCUUUGAAAAUCUGAAGUUCUUCCAGGAAUUUUUGCUAAUUCCCACAGAUUUACAUUCUCGUGAUUUUCUAUUCUCAACACCUUCCAUCAACAAAGACAUGAUACAACCCUUUCUUUACAUUCACCCAAAAAAGUCCACUUUCACAUAAAAGCAUUAGUUAGCAAUGUAGCCUUUACAAAAGGCAUUUAAAGAUGAUGGAGAAAACCAGGAGCAGACCACACCCCUGGUCAACAACUGGGAAAUCCCUGGCUGCUGAAGUAAGCACUGGAUUAUUUCCUUACCUGAAAGAGUCUAGGCCCAGGACAUGCAAUCCUCUCUCACCUAUGUGGGGAGGCUUACCCAGAAUUGGCAGCAAAAGCAUCAAGAAUGAGGGAUAGAUUCUCAGUUAACAUUGCUACAGGGACAUUGCUGCUUUUAGAUCUUGUCAGUGAAUAGAGACAGCAAAAAUCUAAAUCAUGAGUUCAUAUUAACAUGUCACAUUUAACCUAGGGUUUCAAUUUUUCUAUGUGUCUCGUUUCUCUCACAAUGAAAAAUUUAGAUACAAAUAACAUGUUAUUUGUCCUAACCUAAUAUACAAAGUACUUUCAAAAUUAUGAUACAAAUAUUCCUCCUAAUAAUAAAACUACUGAGUGAAGUUUGAAAUUAAUUGCAAUUCUCUUUCCUUAGAGUAUGCCAGAAUGUAUGCCAGAAUUUAUACCAAACAUGUUCCAAAGUCACUUGAAAUAAUUCUUUUCUCUGUGUGGUUAUGCAACCAAUUUGAUAAAGCGUUAAGUUUAUCAGUUUCCUUUUAUUUUCAGUUUGGGGGCCACCUUUAUUUUCCCUGUUGGUUUUAUUUUUCACAAAGUGUAAAACAUUUACAUAAUUCAAAAGUCAAAAGUAAAUAUACUAGAGAAGUCUCACUUCCAACACUUUCAUUUGAUUCCUAGACAAGAAUAUGGUGGGGAGGAUGACCUAGCUUUUAUUUCCUCAAGAUGUAGAAGGAAUGUGAGGAGCAGACAAGAGCAGAAACAUUGUCAAAAGAGACUGUGGUUCAAAUCCACUACUGUUUGAACUUGGGCAUUUCCUACACUUUUUGAGGCUUGAUUUCUUUGCAUGAAAAUGCGAAUAAUACCUGUCUCUGAUGUAGUCUCUGGAUUAAAUGAGAUAACAUAUAUGAAAUGCCUGGUCCAUAGUAAGUACUCAAAAUAUGAGAGCUAUUCAGUAUACUUUAUCUGAAGAGAUCGGUGGUACUUUGAAAUUUCAGACCAACUUGUCACCCAACUCUAGUGACUUGUUAAAAAUCCUUUAAAUUAAAAAAAUCCUUCUACAUACUGUAGAAGUAGUAAUAAUGUAUAAUAGUUUGAGACCGUGCUCAGAAGUUCUAAGCAAAAACCUAUAUCUGAAGAGAUAUAAAAGUGACUAUUUUAAGUAUUAGAAUAAAAAAAAAACCUACACAUUUGGAUGGCAGUAGUGAGGCAGACUGCCAAAAAAAGAAAGAAAUAGGGACUCAAAAGAGACUGCUAUAUUCCGUGGAUGUUUUGCUGCCCUUGUCUAGCUUGGAUUAAUACUUAGUCUAUAGGCACAGACCUGAUCAUCUACAUUUGCCCUCUUACAGCACUAAACUAUGUUUUCUACCUUUCUUGC